rnacentral:rRNA from 1 species
GAGGAAUAUUGGUCAAUGGACGAGAGUCUGAACCAGCCAAGUAGCGUGAAGGAUGACUGCCCUAUGGGUUGUAAACUUCUUUUAUACGGGAAUAAAGUUAGCCACGUGUGGCUUUUUGUAUGUACCGUAUGAAUAAGGAUCGGCUAACUCCGUGCCAGCAGCCGCGGUAAUACGGAGGAUCCGAGCGUUAUCCGGAUUUAUUGGGUUUAAAGGGAGCGUAGGCGGGUUGUUAAGUCAGUUGUGAAAGUUUGCGGCUCAACCGUAAAAUUGCAGUUGAUACUGGCGACCUUGAGUGCAACAGAGGUAGGCGGAAUUCGUGGUGUAGCGGUGAAAUGCUUAGAUAUCACGAAGAACUCCGAUUGCGAAGGCAGCUUACUGGAUUGUAACUGACGCUGAUGCUCGAAAGUGUGGGUAUCAAACAGGAUUAGAUACCCUGGUAGUCCACACAGUAAACGAUGAAUACUCGCUGUUGGCGAUAUACGGUCAGCGGCCAAGCGAAAGCAUUAAGUAUUCCACCUGGGGAGUACGCCGGCAACGGUGAAACUCAAAGGAAUUGACGGGGGCCCGCACAAGCGGAGGAACAUGUGGUUUAAUUCGAUGAUACGCGAGGAACCUUACCCGGGCUUAAAUUGCAACUGACUGGACCGGAAACGGUUCUUUCUUCGGACAGUUGUGAAGGUGCUGCAUGGUUGUCGUCAGCUCGUGCCGUGAGGUGUCGGCUUAAGUGCCAUAACGAGCGCAACCCUUAUCGAUAGUUACUAGCAGGUCAUGCUGAGGACUCUAUUGAGACUGCCGUCGUAAGAUGUGAGGAAGGUGGGGAUGACGUCAAAUCAGCACGGCCCUUACGUCCGGGGCUACACACGUGUUACAAUGGGGGGUACAGAAGGCAGCUACACGGCGACGUGGUGCUAAUCCCGAAAGCCUCUCUCAGUUCGGAUUGGAGUCUGCAACCCGACUCCAUGAAGCUGGAUUCGCUAGUAAUCGCGCAUCAGCCACGGCGCGGUGAAUACGUUCCCG